CCUACGGGAGGCAGCAGUGAGGAAUAUUGGUCAAUGGGCGCGAGCCUGAACCAGCCAAGUCGCGUGAGGGAAGAAGGCCCUACGGGUUGUAAACCUCUUUUGCCGGGGAGCAACGGGCGCCACGUGUGGCGCCACUGAGAGUACACGGAGAAAAAGCAUCGGCAAACUCCGUGCCAGCAGCCGCGGUAAUACGGAGGAUGCGCGCGUUAUCCGGAUUUACUGGGUGUAAAGGGGGCGCAGGCGGCGAUUCAAGCCAGGCGUGAAAGCUCGGGGGCCAACCCCGGGAUUGCUGUUGAAAUUGGGUGGCUGGAGUGCGGGAGAGGCAGGCGGAAUUCGUGGUGUAGCGGUGAAAUGCGUAGAUAUCAAGAAGAACACCGAUGGCGAAGGCAGCCUGCUGAACUGCAACUGACGUUGAUGCCCGAAAGCGUGGGGAGCAAACAGGAUUAGAUACCCCAGUAGUC
rnacentral:rRNA from 1 species